UUAUCGAAAAUUAUCCGCGUUGAGUAGCUUCGCGCUAGUAUUCGAAGCGUCGCUCAUGUGGUGUAUUCGGCGAGCUAUGGCUUUCAAGGCCAUACCUUGCUUAGGCUAAUGCAAAUUUCUCGCAAUCAUUUGCUCCAUGCGAGACGAUGAUGGCCGUCAAGUGUUGCUCUCUCAGAUGCACGGCUUCUAGCGUGUGUUGCUCGUUGGUGAUAUAAGGUUUGAGGCUGGCAUCGACAGCUAGUGAGAGUGAUGCGAGGGGGUUGUCACUUUGU
rnacentral:misc_RNA from 1 species